CCAGAUGAACUAAAUGCAUUUUAUGCUCGCUUCGAGGCAAGCAACACUGAAACAUGCACAAGAGCACCAGCUGUUCUGGAUGACUGUGUGAUAACUCUCUCGGUAGCCGACGUGAGCAAGCCCUUUAAACAGGUCAACAUUCACAAAGCCACGGGGCCAGAUCUAUUACCAGCAUGCGCCAGCAUGCGCUGACCAACUGGCAAGUGUCUUCACUGACAUUUUCAACCUCUCCCUGACUUAGUCAUAUAAUACCUCAUGUUUCUAGCAGACCACCAUAGUCCCUGUGCCCAAGGAAGCGAAGGUAACCUGCCAAAAUGUUUACCGCCCCGUAGCACUCACGUCGGCAGCGAUGAAGUGUAUAGCCUUGACAUAGCAUAGCCUUGACAUAGCAUAGCAUAGCCUUGACAUAGCAUAGCAUAGCAUUAACGAGAGAGGUUGACGCGGCACAUUUAUUGUGUGCUCAGGUAGGCUUUCCACUUUCCUCCGUUAUUUAUUUAGCAAAGAUAACACAAUCACUCCGGACAUAUACGUGCAAAAACUCACGACAUAAAUGUUGCAGCAGCCUAGGCUACACCUAAACGUUAGAAAUCUGACAUGCUGUAUCGGAUGAAAACGAGACAAUAUUUCCAUGUGAUCAACUAUUAAAAAUUGUCCCACUGCUCUGGGACCUAUGGUGCCACCAGUCUGCUUGCAGUUGUUAUGUUGAUGAUCAUUGAUUUAUUCAGGAACGUUUCUUAGUCCACUUUGAUGUGUCAAGUGGGUGAGAUGCGCGGUCUGUGUUUGACUUUAGGAAUUUUGAGAUGUCUGAUGUCUGAUGACGCUUCUGUAAUGGAAUGUAUCUGCUAUUUGUAUUUCCAGCUAAGUCCCCUCCUGUUCCUUGAUUAAGAGGUGAUGACCACUCCACUACCAUUGUCAACUUUCUCCUGACAUAAACUGAAGCCUCGUCUCAUGUGCCCGCUCACAUUUCCCCUCCAAGUACUUGGAGCCCUUGUGUGCAGCGGUUGGCUUACCAUUAGGCAGAAGAGGCAGUUGCGUCAGGCCUCACAUAUUGUAUCAUCAAGGGUGAGCUGGGCAUAAUUGAAAAAAUAAAUUACUUAGGUAAGCAGAUAUUUUAGUUAUCUAAUUUCUUCAGUAAAAAGACAGGUGCUGUUGAUAAUACUGCCAUAGUCGUCGAGGCAGAGGCCAUGUGUCUGAUGCUGUCUGGCCAAAACGAGCACGGCAUGUCAAACCUCAGACUGGACUCUGCCUGGAGCCUCCAAAUCACCUAGUCCCCCCUGCUUGCAUGCAACUCUUUGAGGGAAGGUUCACAGUUCCAUACAUUACAUAUCAUGAACUAUUGCCCUCUCGCACACAGUUAAAAGCACUACCUCCUACACUUCUGAUCCACUAACUGGCCUCUAUAACCUUAUACGACCUAGAGGGACCAAGA